AAAAAAGUAAAAAGACACACACUCUUCUCGUGCGACACAGAACCGGGACCCCCGUACAGAACAUUUUACUGUUUUCCCUUAAUACCCAGGAAACAUGCACUAACCUGGUAAAUACCUGCUUCAUGGAGAGUAGUCUUUCAGGAUUCAUACCCUCAGGACAUUGUUGGGGACCUACUGGACUGAACAAAGGCGGGCAACACGGGAAUAAAAGACAAGAGACAACAGAGUAUAUUUGGAAGAAGGGGUUAGGGGCACCUUGCCUUUAGUGGACAAGGGCCCUGAGCUUUACACAGCCCUCCGUAUUUAUUAGGCAAAAAGAGAUAGCGAGAAAGCUGGGGGAGGGGGGUGAUUGUCAGUCUGCCGUUUGGUUCACAGUAGUCUUGCAUUUUUUGGACAAUAGGCACUAGAUUUUUUAGGCAGAUAACUUUAAGGAGCCCGGAGCUAGGGAGUGAUGUCUGUUAGCAAACCUUUUGGUGGCAGGGCAGUGUGAGUUUGCCCACAUCCUGCAUUCAUGAUAAACAGUUUGCUGUUUGUAGCCUCCAGCGGAAUGCUGAGUUGGUCACGUCCCCCACGGGCCUUCGGCUCCCUGCAGGACACCACCGCCUAGACAUUUGCCCACAUUUGCUGACCUACACGCAGACACUCUGGCUGGUCUAGACACUCAGGGCCUUUACUCCGGCUCCCGCCAGAGGCCUGAGAAAUCCACACCUCACUGAUAGCUCCAUAGCUCACCAGCGUCCGUGGUGAGCCAGUUUCCUUGGCGGCAGCAUCCUCCGCCUUGGGAGAGGCCGUGGGGACCGUACUGAAGAAACUGCCACUCCGAGGCAUUGCUCCGUGCUGGGCACUGCCAUUGAGAAGUGCACCUAAGCGGCCACCAGUGAGCGACGACCACGCAUGAACAGGAAUGUUCUAGAGCGGAAUGCACCUAUGAAGGCUGAGGCCUGCGCGAGAACCUGCACCUGGAAGCCACCCUGACACGCUCCUCCCCUCGGGGCAACGUCCACCUCCUCGCUGUAGGGUGGGGAGGAUGCCGCUGCUGCUGUGGACGGGGAGGGCCAGCGCGUGCGCCGCGGCCAGGGAGCCGUAGAAGCUCAGUCCCAUCCGCCUUUCUCAUGCCCCUUCCCUUUCCCGUCCUCCCUCCUCUCCUCUCACCUGCGUGGUAACAACGAUUGUGACACUCGGUUUUCUUAAGAGGUGCACGUGAUUCAUUUUUAAAAUUCCCUCAAAAGAACGUUUUCUUGAAUUGAAACUAAUGAUCAAACAGAAGCUAGGCCGGGGGCAAUGGCACCACCCUCUCUGCUUCCCUCAGUUCCACUCCCCUCCCCGCCACGCCCCACCUUCCUGCUCAGUGUGGGCUGGGGCGGGCAGCAGGCAGGACACGUGGAAACGCAACCGCCAGGAGGAAAGGCGGGACACAGCGGGAAGGGAGGUUUGCCUCCCCUCUCUUCCUGUGGUGACCCCCACCUCACUUACAAAAAUCACCACCGACGUUUGGGAACCGUGCACGCCGACUGAAAGCAAAGCUCAGCUGACCUGCGAGGAGUCCCCGGGGAGCUGCCGCGGUGGUCGCCGUUGAGUCCGUCCGUGCCGCUGGGGCCGAGGCAGCUGGAGAUGUGGUCAACGGGCUGAUGGGCACGGCUGUGGGACCCCAUCAUUCCCCUGCCCCGCAUGACUCUGCUCUCCCAGCUCGACUGCUCACUUCAGACUUCCCUUAUGGAAGGAGUUGCCAGAUAGAGCAAGUAAAAUACAGUGUGCCAGACACAGGUUUAUUUCAACACUGGGAAGGCUCCAUUCCUACUUAAACCCAGCAGGGAACAGGGAGCGGUGUGCAGAGGAGGUGGCCUGCCCGGGAAGCCGGCCUUGGUGCUGGGACUGCAGGGAGAGGGCUGUGAGGAAGAGCACAGGCUUCAUGCACAUUGCACAGAGGAGGAGAUUCAUGGGGACAGCAGGCACUGGUUAGGCACAGCGGGAAGGUUAUCGAAGACAAAACACAUUUCUACCCAAGUUUAAAUGACCUGCUAUGCCCACAGAGCUUGAUCCAGAAGUGCACAGGUAAGUAUUUAGCAGGCUGGCCGAUGUUGAUUUGAACAAUCUCAAGAAUGUGCUCUUUAGUGCAUUAAACAUAUGUGACGAGAGCUGAGCACGUUUAAAAUCUCAGUAACUUUGGGGUUUGUAAGUGUUGUAGCUCAUAGUGUCGGUUAAGGUUAGACAUCUCAGUCACAUGCUGUCUUGGCACCAGCUGUGGACUGUGCUGUGAAAGAGAUCUGUGACCUUGCACCCUGAGAUCUCAGGCUCAAUUAAGAGACAAAACAGGCAAUGCAGUAUCAGUGCAGAUGGGAAAGAGAAAGCAGAAAGUAUGAAGAGGGAAAGGAGGAGCACAAAGGAGUUAGCAUUAGUCUCUACUGAGCAAUUCCUAUUCCAACCACGUCCUAAAUGAUGAGUUGGAUCCUAGCAGAAAGGGAACACAUGUUAUUUUUAACUGAUUUUAACUUGAUUUAUUGUAACCUAUCAGGAGCUCUUAAUAAAUAUGGCUCUUUAUGUUGUUAGCAAGUGUGUUUGAUUUUUGCCACUCUAGGAGGUGAGCUCUGUCCAUGUUUUCAGAGUAGAAAGUGAUCUAUGAUACAAUGAACUGUUUUUAGCUUCAUGAGUUAGAAGUAGGAAGAGGAGAAUGUAUCAAUUUGUUAACUGCCUUUUCCUGUUCAAAAAAAAGCUUUUUCAGCAAAACAUAGUCCUUAAGUUUAAAAAGUCAGUGUUUAUUAUCUGACAGAUAUGUUUAAAUUAGUAAAGAAAACAUUACAUUUUCAUAAACAUUGAAUGAACAUUAUGUGAACAUUGAGUUUAACUUUUGGUUGUCUCUUGGGAAAUUUUUGUCAAUUUGAAAAAUGAUGAAAAGCAUCAAUAAAAGAUGCAAGCAAUUGUGUAAUCUCAAUGUGCUACCGAAGUGGCUCUCUGCUUGGGUAUGAGAAAAGCUAUCAAAGGAAAAUUUGAUUUAAGAAAGGAAAUCUAGGCCAGGAGCAGUGGUUCAGGCCUAUAAUUCCAGCAUUUGGAGAGGUUGUAGUGGGAGGAUUACUUUAAGCCAUAAGUUUGAGACCAGCCUAGGCAACAUAGUAAGACCUCAUCUCUAUAAAAAUAAAAUGGAAAGAAAGAAAUGGAAUCUAAAAUAAAGAAAAACAAUAUUAAUGGCAUAUCUUAUGCCAGAUUAAAGGCUUCAUUUUGUACUUUUAAAAAUUGCCGGCCGGGCGUG
rnacentral:lncRNA from 10 species